GAUGAACGCUGGCGGCGUGCUUAAUACAUGCAAGUCGAACGAACAGACGAGGAUCUUGCUGCUCUCAAGUUAGCGGCGGACGGGUGAGUAACACGUGGAUAACCCACCUCUUAGACUGGGAUAACUUCGGGUAACUGGAGCUAAUACCGGAUAAUAUAUUGAACCGCAUGGUUCAAUAGUGAAAGACGUGUUUGCUGUCAUCUAUAGAUGGCUCCUCGCCGCUUUAGUUAGUUGGUACGGUAACGGCUUACCAAGGCGACGAUGCGUAGCCGACCUGCGAGGGUGAUGGCCGACAGUGAGGGUGAAACACGGUACAGACUCCGACGGGAGGCAGCGGUAGGGAAUCGUCCGAGAUGGGGGGAAGCCUGACGGAGCAACGCCACGUGGAUGAUGAAAGUCUUCGGGGCGGAAGACUCUGUUAUUAGGGAAGAACAAUUGUGUAAGUAACUAUGCACGUCUUGACGGUACCUAAUCAGAAAGCCACGGCUAACUACGUG
rnacentral:rRNA from 1 species